rnacentral:rRNA from 1 species
GCAUAUCUAUUAAGCGGAGGAAAAGAAACCAACAGGGAUUGCCCUAGUAACGGCGAGUGAAGCGGCAACAGCUCAAAUUUGAAAGCUGGCUCUCGGGCCCGCAUUGUAAUUUGCAGAGGAUGCUUCUGGCGACGCGCCUUCCGAGUUCCCUGGAACGGGACGCCAUAGAGGGUGAGAGCCCCGUCCGGUCGUGCGCCUAGCCUCUGUGAAGCUCCUUCGACGAGUCGAGUAGUUUGGGAAUGCUGCUCAAAAUGGGAGGUAUACGUCUUCUAAAGCUAAAUACCGGCCAGAGACCGAUAGCGCACAAGUAGAGUGAUCGAAAGAUGAAAAGCACUUUGAAAAGAGAGUUAAAAAGUACGUGAAAUUGUUGAAAGGGAAGCGCUCAUGACCAGACUUGGGCUGGCCCGAUCAUCCGGCGUUCUCGCCGGUGCACUCGGGCCGCCCAGGCCAGCAUCAGCUUUCGCCGGGGGAUAAAGGCGGCGGGAAUGUGGCUCCCUCGGGAGUGUUAUAGCCCGCCGUGCAAUACCCUGGUGGGGGCUGAGGUUCGCGCGUAUGCACGGAUGCUGGCGUAAUGGUUAUCAGCGACCCGUCUUGAAACACGGACCAAGGAGUCGUCUUCGUAUGCGAGUGUUCGGGUGUCAAACCCCUACGCGGAAUGAAAGUGAACGCUGGUGAGAGCUUCGGCGCAUCACCGACCGAUCCUGAUGUUCUCGGACGGAUUUGAGUAAGAGCAUACGGGGCCGGACCCGAAAGAAGGUGAACUAUGCCUGUAUAGGGUGAAGCCAGAGGAAACUCUGGUGGAGGCUCGCAGCGGUUCUGACGUGCAAAUCGAUCGUCAAAUAUGGGCAUGGGGGGCGAAAGACUAAUCGAACCUUCUAGUAGCUGGGUUUCCGCCGAAG